UACGUAGGGUGCAAGCGUUAAUCGGAAUUACUGGGCGUAAAGCGUGCGCAGGCGGUUCGCUAAGCCAGAUGUGAAAUCCCCGGGCUCAACCUGGGAACUGCAUUUGGGACUGCAAGGCUAGAGUACGGCAGAGGGGGGUAGAAUUCCUGGUGUAGCAGUGAAAUGCGUAGAUAUCAGGAGGAAUACCGAUGGCGAAGGCAGCCCCCUGGGUCGAUACUGACGCUCAUGCACGAAAGCGUGGGGAGCAAACAGG
rnacentral:rRNA from 1 species